GUUCCUGGCUCAGGACGAACGCUGGCGGCGUGCCUAACACAUGCAAGUCGAGCGGAGACAGUGAGUAGCUUGCUAUGAGCUGUUUUAGCGGCGGACGGGUGAGUAACGCGUGAGCAACCUUUCCCAGACAGGGGAAUAACACACCGAAAGGUGUACUAAUACCGCAUAAGACCACGGGAUCACAUGGUUCUGGGGUAAAAGAUUUAUCGGUUUGGGGUGGGCUCGCAUCCGAUUAGGUAGUUGGUGAGGUAACGG
rnacentral:rRNA from 1 species